rnacentral:rRNA from 1 species
UACAGAGGGUGCGAGCGUUGUUCGGAAUUAUUGGGCGUAAAGGGCGCGUAGGCGGUGCGGUAAGUCACCUGUGAAAUCUCCUGGCUCAACUGGGAGCUUGCAGGCGAAACUGCCGUGCUGGAGUGUGGGAGAGGUGCGUGGAAUUCCUGGUGUAGCGGUGAAAUGCGCAGAUAUCAGGAGGAACACCGGUGGCGAAGGCGGGUCUCUGGGCCGAUACUGACGCUGAGGAGCGAAAGCGUGGGGAGCGAACAGG